rnacentral:rRNA from 1 species
UACGGAGGGUGCAAGCGUUGUCCGGAAUCACUGGGCGUAAAGGGCGCGUAGGCGGCCUGUUAAGUCGAACGUGAAAUCCCCGGGCUCAACCCGGGAACUGCGUCCGAUACUGGCAGGCUUGAAUCCGGGAGAGGGAUGCGGAAUUCCAGGUGUAGCGGUGAAAUGCGUAAAUAUCUGGAGGAACACCGGUGGCGAAGGCGGCAUCCUGGACCGGCAUUGACGCUGAGGCGCGAAAGCGUGGGGAGCAAACAGG